UUUCCGGUAAAUAGUAUAAUUAAGUCUAAAUUGGACAUAUGAAUUGAAGCCAAGAGACGUUGCAAUCCAAUAUAGCUUGUCAGAAAUGCUGCUUGAAUGCUACAAAAAGGAAUAUUUUUUGUCCAGAUUGUGACUGGUGAUGAACUGGCCUUAAAGAAAAAAAUUAUGUGUGAAACCUGUCCAAACAGCCGAAUAUCCACGACAUCUUUGUUUGAUGGAGUUAGAAGGGCGUGAGCUUCUAAAGCCGGUUGAAACUGUUAAUGGGUAACGGUUCGUCUAUAUGCUAAGCCUUGCCACUAGGCCAUCUAGCGGAAGCGACUUGUAUCAAUUUUCGGUCCGAAGAAAAGGAAGAGCAGGCAACUAUAAAAUGUUAUGCGGCGGAAAUAGAAGCAAUGAAAGCCGCUUUGUGAUAAUUCCCACACAAAAAUCUCUUGAAAGUUUCAAACGCCGCCUUGAAAUGCUUACGCUGACUUUGGAGCGAUUAAUACGCGCUCUCACUGUGACCUGCCAGCUAUUCUGCAUGGCACCGAUACCAAAAACGAGAAAACGAAAAUUGAAUCGACUACGUCACCUUCAUUACGUUCACGCUUCCGUUAUACUCAUAAACAUUUACGUUUUCAGCUGGAAUUUUAUUGCAAAC
rnacentral:lncRNA from 1 species